AUACGUAGGGUGCAAGCGUUAUCCGGAAUUAUUGGGCGUAAAGGGCUCGUAGGCGGUUCGUCGCGUCCGGUGUGAAAGUCCAUCGCUUAACGGUGGAUCCGCGCCGGGUACGGGCGGGCUUGAGUGCGGUAGGGGAGACUGGAAUUCCCGGUGUAACGGUGGAAUGUGUAGAUAUCGGGAAGAACACCAAUGGCGAAGGCAGGUCUCUGGGCCGUUACUGACGCUGAGGAGCGAAAGCGUGGGGAGCGAACAGGAUUAGAUACCCUGGUAGUCCACGCCGUAAACGGUGGAUGCUGGAUGUGGGGACCAUUCCACGGUCUCCGUGUCGGAGCCAACGCGUUAAGCAUCCCGCCUGGGGAGUACGGCCGCAAGGCUAAAACUCAAAGAAAUUGACGGGGGCCCGCACAAGCGGCGGAGCAUGCGGAUUAAUUCGAUGCAACGCGAAGAACCUUACCUGGGCUUGACAUGUUCCCGACAGCCGUAGAGAUACGGUCUCCCUUCGGGGCGGGUUCACAGGUGGUGCAUGGUCGUCGUCAGCUCGUGUCGUGAGAUGUUGGGUUAAGUCCCGCAACGAGCGCAACCCUCGCCCUGUGUUGCCAGCACGUCGUGGUGGGAACUCACGGGGGACCGCCGGGGUCAACUCGGAGGAAGGUGGGGAUGACGUCAGAUCAUCAUGCCCCUUACGUCCAGGGCUUCACGCAUGCUACAAUGGCCGGUACAACGGGAUGCGACCUCGUGAGGGGGAGCGGAUCCCUUAAAACCGGUCUCAGUUCGGAUUGGAGUCUGCAACCCGACUCCAUGAAGGCGGAGUCGCUAGUAAUCGCGGAUCAGCAACGCCGCGGUGAAUGCGUUCCCGGGCCUUGUACACACCGCCCGUCAAGUCAUGAAAGUGGGUAGCACCCGAAGCCGGUGGCCCAACCUUUUGGGGGGAGCCGUCUAAGGUGAGACUCGUGAUUGGGACU
rnacentral:rRNA from 1 species